rnacentral:rRNA from 1 species
CGGAGGGUGCAAGCGUUAUCCGGAUUUACUGGGUUUAAAGGGUGUGUAGGCGGGCUUUUAAGUCAGUGGUGAAAUCUCCGAGCUUAACUUGGAAACUGCCAUUGAUACUAUUAGUCUUGAAUUCUGUUGAGGUUGGCGGAAUAAGUCAUGUAGCGGUGAAAUGCAUAGAUAUGACUUAGAACACCGAUUGCGAAGGCAGCUAACUAAGCAGAUAUUGACGCUGGGGGCACGAGAGCGUGGGGAUCAAACAGGAUUAGAUACCCUGGUAGUCCACGCCCUAAACGAUGAUUACUCGACAUACGCGAUACACAGUGUGUGUCUGAGCGAAAGCAUUAAGUAAUCCACCUGGGAAGUACGACCGCAAGGUUG